rnacentral:lncRNA from 1 species
AGAGAAGGCAGGAGCGCACUCCUCCAAUGGGAGCCCGAGAGCGGUCAGUGGCCGUGGAGGCCUGCUACCCCCGCUAGCUCUCCAGCCCGCCGGAGGGACGCUAGAUCCAGCCGCCGGCCCCUUGAAUCUGCUCCCCCUCGGCAGCGGUGGCGCGGAGGGCAGGAGGUGUCUGGUGAGACGCGGGUAUCGGAGGAUCGUGCGGGUAGCAAAGGGAUGGCGAGUGCCCCUGCAGCCCCAGACAACAACCAGUUUUGAAGCGUACUGUAGAAUGUCCCUCAGUUUGGAUGUCUGAAGUUUUCCUCAUAAUUAGACUGGGGUUGUUUUUGGAAAGAAUACCAUAGAGUUGAAGUGGCCUUUUCAUCACAUUAUAUCAGAGAACAUGCAUCACUGUUAGAACCAUCACCCUGCAGCUAGCUUGGACACCAUUAAAAGGGCUCAUCAGCUACAAACGGAUAGAAGUGUCUGGUAUUCGUGAAGACAGAGUUUCAGGGCUACCACCUGGAGCUACACCCUCCAGCAACCCCUGCUUGGCCUCCCUGCACCCAGCCCUGCACCAGCCAGUCACAACUUGGGCUGUGUGUGGUGUUUCUUGGCAACUGGGACACAGACUCCUCCAGCAGCUCCACAGCCCCUCUUGUCCUCAGUGAUCAGAAGACUACAGAAGCUGGCUACUGAAGAGGCUGUCCAAGUGAUAGAGCUCCUCCUUGACUCUGCUUAGCACAUUUACCACAGAGCAGUAGCUGAGUGCUGGAUGUUACUCAUUCGUGCUCACUACCUACGGGAACUGUAGAGGGGUUUGUCAGGCCUUGUCUCACAAAGGGCCACCCUGUAAAGAUCUCCACAGGAGGCUGCCCAUAGAGAGAAUUGGCCUGCCUAGGUUCUCCACUGC